GAUGAACGCUGGCGGCGUGCCUAAUACAUGCAAGUCGAGCGAACGGACGAGAAGCUUGCUUCUCUGAUGUUAGCGGCGGACGGGUGAGUAACACGUGGAUAACCUACCUAUAAGACUGGGAUAACUUCGGGAAACCGGAGCUAAUACCGGAUAAUAUUUUGAACCGCAUGGUUCAAAAGUGAAAGACGGUCUUGCUGUCACUUAUAGAUGGAUCCGCGCUGCAUUAGCUAGUUGGUAAGGUAACGGCUUCCCAAGGCAACGAUGCAUAGCCGACCUGAGAGGGUGAUCGGCCACACUGGAACUGAGACACGGUCCAGACUCCUACGGGAGGCAGCAGUAGGGAAUCUUCCGCAAUGGGCGAAAGCCUGACGGAGCAACGCCGCGUGAGUGAUGAAGGUCUUCGGAUCGUAAAACUCUGUUAUUAGGGAAGAACAUAUGUGUAAGUAACUGUGCACAUCUUGACGGUACCUAAUCAGAAAGCCACGGCUAACUACGUG
rnacentral:rRNA from 1 species